rnacentral:lncRNA from 1 species
UAAAAAUUAUAUAAGUGGGGUUUGAGGAGGCUAAAGUCUACGCAGACUUUAUCCCUGUCCCAAAAGUAAAGAGGCCGUUUCCGAAAGGCCUCCGAUUAGACAAUAGAUCCGUAACAGCAACAAAAACCAGAAAACAUUGAUGAAAACUAUGAAAUAUAAUUUGUGCCUGAGAUGAUUCCUAAGGAAUUACAGGUCAAAGUCACAUCCAACAUAACUAAACAAAAGCAAUGAGGUUACAAAUUGAAUCACUUAUUUCUCUUGCUAUGAACAAAGCAAAUUUUCAGGAUAACACAAAUUGACCCUGUGGAUAGAUCAAUGUUCUACUGAUGAAUUAGAUGUGUACGUAAAGAAAUUUAGACUCUCUAACACCAGAAGUUCUCUAAAUUUCUACUUUCAUACAAAAUCUCUAACAAGAUUGAAAACACUACCAGUAAACAUUGGACCUGAAUCUUGUACAGAUAUUUUAUAUAGGCAUGCAUAAAGAAAUUGAGGCUAGUACAUUUACGAUACUAUCCCUAACUAGCCUUUACAACAUGUAAGUUCUCCUCUAUCACUGUUAGUUUUCAAUUGCGAGAAUACACACACAUAGAUAUAAAGCAUAUAUGUGAGUAACAGAGAAUUGGCAUACCGAAUUAAUUAGAGAACUUGGAAUCAUUCAGAAAUGGCGACGAA